CUCAGAGAGCGGCUGCAGGUGAUAUGCAGGCAGCUCCAGAUUGGGAGAAAGCUGAGGCCACAAGGAAAUCCCAAAAUGCAAUGGAAGGCCCAGCACUGCCUGCUGAGGGAGGAAUGCCCUCCGGAAGAGUGCCAGGAGCUGCAGAGGCUCCAGCAGGCUUGCGCCAAACUUGGAGUGCUCAGCGAUCAGUUGCAGGAGAAAUGCAGGCAGUUCCAGAUCGGUAGAAGGCUGAGGCCACACGGAAAUCCACAACAGCAAUGGAUGGCCCAGCCAUGCCUGCAGAGGGAGGAACACCCUCCUGAAGAGUGCCAAAAGCUGCAGAGGCUCCAGCAGAGUGGCGCCAAACUUGCAGUGCUCAGCGAUCAGCUAGAGGAGAAAUGCAGGCAGCUCCAGAUUGUGAGAAAGCUGAGGCCACAGAGAAAUCCCAAAAAGCAAUGGAAGGCCCAGCCAUGCCUGCUGAGAGUGGAAGGCUUUACUGAAGAGUGCCAGGAGCUGCAGAGGCUCCAGCAGGCUGGGACCAUACUUGAAGUGCUCAGAGAGCGGCUGCAGGUGAUAUGCAGGCAGCUCCAGAUCGGUAGAAAGCUGAGGCCACAGGGAAAUCCCAUACAGCAGUGGAAGGCCCAGCCAUGCCUGCUGAGAGUGGAAGGCCCUCCUGAACACUGCCAAGAGCAGCAGAGGCUCCUGCAGGCUGGGGCCAAACUUGUAAUACUCAGCGAUCAGCUUGAGGAGAAAUGCAGGCGCCUCCAGGAGAUCGGGAGAAAGCUGAGGCCACAUGGAAA
rnacentral:lncRNA from 1 species